rnacentral:lncRNA from 1 species
CCAAGACGUCUUUUUGUUUUUAUUUCUUAAUUUCUAUUCUGAUUUUUAAAUUGACAUGCUAAUAAUUUGCUUUUAAAAAGAAUAGUUAUUGCAUUUUUACAGUGUCGAUGGCUGGUUACCAUGUUUUACUUCAGUUCAUGAGGUAUAGUACAACCAGUGUUACCUGAAUGAACACUGAGGUCUGUCAUACCCCAGCCUUGGGCACUGAAGAGAAAUUGGGCUAUAUGGUCACUGGGUUCUGUUGAAGCAUCACCCAGUUGAUGUGCUUUCCUGUAAGCCUCCCAGUUCUAACCACAUCACCUGCUUUUGGGCCUCUGCUCUGAAAAAAAAAAAAAAAAAAAAAAAAAAGGUAGGCUAAUUAUUUCUGCAGCUGUCUAGUGAAGGGGAAGUCUUAGGAAAUGAAUUCUAAAGAAACCUUGACCUAAUAUUCAGACACUUUGGGGAAAACCUGCCCUUUUUUUAGCUUCCCAGUAAAGAGAAUAGACAGUAAGCUCAGACCUGUAACAUGAGACUGAGCCACUCUUAGCCUGGAAAGAAAAUCAUAGUUUGAAAAAGGUCCAGAGCUGGGUGCUGGUGCCGUGCAUACUUCUAGUCCCAGCAUUUAGCAUCAGAAGUAGGUGGGUCUCUGUGAAUUUCAGGCCAGCCUGGUCUACAAAGCAAGCUCCAGGACAGCCAGUGCUAUAACAAAGAAACUCUGUCUCAAAACAAAAAACAAACAAAUAAACAAACAAAAUAACCAGACAACAACACCCCCAAACAAAAACAAGACAAAACAACAACAAAAACCAAAAGGGAAAGGAAGCGGUCCCAUGUAGAGAGAGUCUUUGAAGCAGGCUUUGAGGAGGCUUUGGUUUGGUUGAGCCCAUCAGUUACGAACUGUUACCGUCCAGCUCCUGUUUCUCCUCCACUCAUUGGUUCCAAGAUUUUGGCCAGUUACGAACCCUAACACUGAUCUUGUCACAGUAAAGAGUACCAUAGUCAAAUAUUAUUUGGUUACUAUUUUAAAUUUUCAUUUCAGUCUUAAUGUUAUACGUGAUAGUACUAGCUUGAGAAAUUAAACUUUUAUAAUCAUACUAAGAUUAACAAAUACAUACUCAUUAAAAAGAAUAAUAAAAGCCUUUCUCUGCUGUCCUCCAAUUUGUAAAACUUGUCCUGUUUUCUCUAGAAAUAUACAGAGAAUUAGCUUUCAUUUGGCUGCCCUAUUAAAAUCUGUACUACUGAAAAAUUGGCUUUUCCUUGUUCCUAGUGGUUUAGAUUUCAGAAACCCCAAAGGAUGUGUUUAUAUUUGUUUUUUUUCCUGUCUCUCUCACACAACAGUCCAUCUUCCCACAUUGUAUACUCCAGGAAAUAAACUUAUGUUUUUCUUUUCUCCUUACACUUCCUGCCUAUUCAAAUACAGCUACAGUUGUUUUUGCCAGCAGUUCUUGAGUAAGUUAGGGCAUUCCUUUAAACUUAAACUUUCUUUCUUUUUCUGUAUACAUUAAGCUGUUUGGAAAAAAAGAUGCUCUGGGAAGCGACUCUUGAUAUAUGAACUUUGUGUAGCCUGACUGAUAAGGAGAAAUGGAAAUGACUCACUGUUGGUACAGGUGCACAAAACAUAGUUGUACCUUUCUCCAGGGGACCUAAAUUACACUGUUACUAUCCAUCACAAUUAGAACAUAGUUUCCAUUGACCUGUUUCUUUGCAGUGUCUAUUUUAUAUGGGUUUAUUCCUGUUUAAGAAUGUGGAUACAAGGUUAUUACAGCAUCAUUUGUAGUGGUAAAAGAUUUUGGAAAAAAGUUUAUCCAUAGAAAACUCAUAAAUUGAUGACUUGUUUUUCAUCAAAUGAAAUAUUUGCUGUAGAAAAGAAUGAGAAAGCUUCAUAAGGUAUCUGAGGUGCAGCUAGAAAAAAAGAAAAUUUGCAGUAGUGUGUCUAAUGUCCCAGUAGUGUAGAAAAUCUGAAACUCAUGUGUAUAUGUAUGUUAUAUCCUUCCCUUUAUUCACACAAACAUGCACAUUACCUUUACGUGCAUAAAGUCUCUCUGGAAGACUACAUAAAACCCAAUAGUGUUGAUCGCCUUUGGAGAUGGGGGAGCUAACAUAGAAGGAAGCUUUCAUGGUAGAGUUUUGACACUUUGGAAUUUUGAAUAACAAGAAUCUACCUAUUCAGAAAAGAAAUACAGGGGCUGGAGAGAUGGCUCAGCGGUUAAGAGCACUGACUGCUCUUCUGAAUGUCCUGAGUUCAAAUCCCAGCAACCACAUGGUGCCUUACAACUACCUGUAAUGAGAUCUGAUGCCCUCUCGUGGUUCUGAAGACAGUAACAGUGUACUUACAUAUAAUAAUAAAUAAAUAUUUUG